UGCUCCUCAAACAGAUGUGUUCAGUUGGUGGAUUAAAUCACACAUUCCUCUCAAGACUCAAGAGCAGUAAAAACAGCGAUUUAUAUUUUUCCAAUUUGUAUAAUGUCACUUAGGAGUUGGUAGCAGUUUAUUCGUUAUUUUGCCACCUUUGAUUUUGUGCAGGGGGUUGGUUUCACUGAUUGUGUUGCACAAAAUCUAUAUUCUUGAGGGAGAUUUUUCCUUCCUCUUUUUCUUUUGGGAACUGUUUAGAAGAUUUUGAUAUUGAUGCUCUCAAAACUGAGGCAAAUUAUGAAUUCAAUCAAAAUCUCAGUUAGGGAGACUGUAGUUUUCAGGAGUUUAUGA
rnacentral:misc_RNA from 1 species